AGAAAAAAAAGAAUCAGCUCUACAAAUCUUCAUGUCCAGUACUGUUAUGUUUCCAAUCCAAAGAUCGUCUAUAUUCUACCACACUUUAUUAAAAUAUUAGACACUUACAUUAAGAAAUAUGCUUAUAACUAGCUGGCUUGAAAUAAUGCAGAAUUACCUUUAAAAUGAAUAUGAACAAAUAUUAGAGAGUAUCUAGCAAUAAAAUAUGUAUCAGUUACUAAAAGUAAUAAUGAUAUAGAUGAUAGGUGAAAUUCUGGCAUUCUGAUAGCUUUGAGUGAAUAGCUAUGAAAAGUUUAAGUCUUCUUUAGGUUCACUCUUAAUAAUAAAUUGCUUUAUCUGGAGUGUGGUUCCAAAAUAAGUCACUAAGGAAGAAAAGUAUUCAAGAGAAACUGCCCGAGUAUCCUUAGCUAUUGGAUUUAGCAGACUUCAUAAACAUGUUCAAAAUGGAAGUCUGUUUAUUAUAUUAAAGAAAACUUAUAAUAAUCCAAUGAACAAAGAAUCUCAAUAAAGAGGUACAAAGUUAUGAAAGAACCAAAUGGAAACCUGGGCGCUGAAAAAUUCAACUUACGAAACAAAACAAUGCAAGUAGAUUUGAGAUGGCAGACGCAUCGGUGAGCUUGAGGAAAAAUCAACGUUACACAACCUGAGAAAUAGAGGGAGAAAAAGACUGAAAAAAAUGAACAGAGCCUGAGACCAGGGUAACAGGAAAUGUACCAACAAAUGCAUAAGGCGAAUCACAGAAGAGCAAAGGGCAGAAAAAUGUAACUAAGAAAUAAUGUCCAAAAAUCUCUCAAAUUUUAUAAAAAACAUUAUAUAUCCAAGAAGCUAAAACAAACAAAAACCAAUAACAACAAACCCAAGUAGGAUAAACACUAUGAGAUCCACACCUAAAAACGUCUUAGUCAAACUGUUUAAAAGACAAGGCCCAGAAAAAAAAAGCCCAAAAGCAGUGAGGAAAACAAUUACACAAAGGAGACCAAAAAUAAUUAACAGCUGACUUUGCACCAAAAGUAAUGGAAAUCCGGGUGCACUGGGAUGACAUUAAAAGAGAGUCAAAGAAAAAGUUGUCAGGCACAAAUUCUAUAUCCAGCAAACUAUCCUUAAAAAAAAAAAAGAAUCAAGGCAAAACCAGACAUUCCCAGAUAAAGAUUAAGGACAUUAAGAUCGUAUAAAGCAGUAGUUCCAACCAUUAUUAUUAUUAUCAUUAUUAUUAUUAUUAUUAUUAUUACUAUUAUUGGAGAUGGUAUAUUGCUCUGUCACCCAGGCUGGAGUAUACUGGCAUGAUCUCAGCUCACUGCAACCUCUGCCUCCCAGGUUCAAGUGAUUCUCCUGCCUCAGCAACUUGAAUAGAUGCAAUUACAGGCAUGCACCACCACGCACAACUAAUUUUUGUAUUUUGGGUAGAGAUGGGGUUUCCUCAUGUUGGCCAGGCUUGUUUCAAACUCCUGGCCUCAAGUGAUCUGCCUACCUCAGCCUCCUAAAUUGCUGGGAUUACAGGUGAGUCACUGCGCCCAGCCAGUAGUUCCAAUUAUUUAAAGCAAAAGAAGGUAGGAAAGGAGGAACAGCAGAAUCUCUUUAGGUAUGAGGAAAAAAAAAUAGCAAAAGACAGGUAUAAAUUCAAAUAUAUCAAUAAUAUUAAGUAUAAAUGAACUGAACACUCCACCAAAAUGGCAGAGAUUGUGAAACGGGAUAAAAAAGCAAGAUCCAGGCCGGGCGCGGUGGCUCACACCUGUAAUCCUAACACUUUGGGAGGACGAGGCGGGUGGAUCACGAGGUCAGGAGAUCGAGACCAUCCUGGCGAACAUGGUGAAACCCUGUCUCUACUAAAAAUACAAAACAAAAAAUAAGCCGGGCGUGGUGGCGGGCGCCUGUAGUCCCAGCUACUCAGGAGGCUGAGGCAGGAGAAUGGCUUAAACCCGGGAGGCGGAGCUUGCAGUGAGCCGAGAUCACGCCACUGCACUCUAGCCUGGGCGACAGAGCAAAACUCCAUCUCAAAAAACAACAACAAAACAAACAAAAAAGGCAAGACCCGGCCAGGCGCGGUGACUUACGCCUGUAAUCCCAGCACUUUGGGAGGCCGAGGAGGGUGGAUCACGAGGUCA
rnacentral:lncRNA from 10 species